GACGAACGCUGGCGGCGUGCCUAAUACAUGCAAGUCGAACGCUUCUUUCCUCCCGAGUGCUUGCACUCAAUUGGAAAGAGGAGUGGCGGACGGGUGAGUAACACGUGGGUAACCUACCCAUCAGAGGGGGAUAACACUUGGAAACAGGUGCUAAUACCGCAUAACAGUUUAUGCCGCAUGGCAUAAGAGUGAAAGGCGCUUUCGGGUGUCGCUGAUGGAUGGACCCGCGGUGCAUUAGCUAGUUGGUGAGGUAACGGCUCACCAAGGCCACGAUGCAUAGCCGUCCUGAGAGGGUGAUCGGCCACACUGGGACUGAGACACGGCCCAGACUCCUACGGGAGGCAGCAGUAGGGAAUCUUCGGCAAUGGACGAAAGUCUGACCGAGCAACGCCGCGUGAGUGAAGAAGGUUUUCGGAUCGUAAAACUCUGUUGCUAGAGAAGAACAAGGACGUUAGUAACUGAACGUCCCCUGACGGUAUCUAACCAGAAAGCCACGGCUAACUACGUG
rnacentral:rRNA from 1 species